rnacentral:lncRNA from 1 species
CUCUAGAAGACUCUGAUGGAAGACAGGACUCACCAGCAGGGGAUCUGCCAAGGCAGGUCCACCAGCCAACAGAAUCUGAGCCAGUCACCAUAAGUAUCAGAGACCUACUUUCCUGUUCUAAUUUUGCAGUGCAACAUAGAUACCUGUUUGAAGACAAUCUUUCACGGUCUACACAAAAACUCUUGCACUCAACACAAUCUUCAGGAAACCCUCGGGAAGAAACCCAAGACCAAUGCAAAUGUGAAAACCUUAUACAGUUCCAGAACCUUGCAAAUGAAGAAGUAAGAAAAUUAACCCAACGCUUAGAAGAAAUGACUCAAAGAAUGGAAGCCUUGGAAAAUCGCCUAAGAUACAGAUGAAGACUAGAAGUGCUUUUAUAUCUGUAUUUGUACAACAUUGUAAAACGGAUUUUAACACAGGUAGUGGAGCCUGAAAGCUCAUACCAUAAGUAGAUCUACAAGCUAUAAAGCAAAAUACAACCAGUACAGAAGACACUGGAUUGCUUGACUGCUGGACAAGAGAAAAUGGAGACAUUGAGGUGUCUAAAUCCAAUGGGGGUGGGGGGAGGAAUCCUGAGUUUACCAGAAUAAGCUGUGCAGGGUCCCAUGAUGUUCUGUGGACAUGACUUCCUUCUGCCUCAACACUGAAAUUUCAUUUGACAACUGAAGUAUCUUAAUUCAGCAGAAAACUGACUCUACAAAUUGCUUUUUUUUUUGUACUGCAAUUUACCUUGAUGUGUAUACAGACAUGUGCAUAAGUCACAGGGACCUGUGUUCUGUAAUAAGUUGAAUUUCUACACAAUAUUAAAGUUCACCACUCCAGAAAAGAAUGUUGAGU